rnacentral:rRNA from 1 species
GACGAACGCUGGCGGCGUGCCUAAUACAUGCAAGUAGAACGCAGUUGCGAACGGGUGAGUAACGCGUAGGUAACUGCCUCAUAGCGGGGGUUAACUAUUGGAAACGAUAGCUAAUACCGCAUACUGUGAGAUGGACCUGCGUUGUAUUAGCUAGUUGGUGAGGUAAAGGCUCACCAAGGCGACGAUACAUAGCCGACCUGAGAGGGGGAUAGGCCACACUGGGACUGAUACACGGACAAGACAACUACGGGAGGCAGCAGUAGGGAAUGUUCGGAAAUAGAAGGAAGUCUGACCGAGCAACGACGCGUGAGUGAAAAAGGUGUUAGGAUCGUAAAACUCUGUUGUUAGAGAAGCGGUAUCUAACCAGAAAGCAACGGCUAACUACGUGCCAGCAGCCGCGGUAAUUC